rnacentral:rRNA from 1 species
CCUACGGGAGGCAGCAGUGAGGAAUAUUGGUCAAUGGGCGCGAGCCUGAACCAGCCAAGUAGCGUGAAGGAUGACUGCCCUACGGGUUGUAAACUUCUUUUAUAAAGGAAUAAAGUGAGGCACGUGUGCCUUUUUGUACGUACUUUAUGAAUAAGGAUCGGCUAACUCCGUGCCAGCAGCCGCGGUAAUACGGAGGAUGCGAGCGUUAUCCGGAUUUAUUGGGUUUAAAGGGAGCGUAGAUGGGUUGUUAAGUCAGUUGUGAAAGUUUGCGGCUCAACCGUGGAAUUGCAAUUGAUACUGGCAGCCUUGAGUGCAGUUGAGGUAGGCGGAAUUCGUGGUGUAGCGGUGAAAUGCUUAGAUAUCACGAAGAACUCCGAUUGCGAAGGCAGCCUACUAAGCUGCCACUGACGUUGAGGCACGAAAGCGUGGGUAUCAAACAGGAUUAGAUACCCCGGUAGUC